rnacentral:lncRNA from 1 species
UGAACAUUUUAAAUGCUCAUGAAAUGCUGACAACUAUCCUAUGCAAUGGUGCUAUUAUAUUCAGGAUGCUCAGGAUGAAGUGCCAGGAGAUUAAGUAACUUGAGCAAGGACGUCCAGCUCUUAGCAGUAAACCUGAAAUGUGAUCUAAGGAAAAGUCUGAGUCAAGUCUCUGUAGGCUUAACUAUUAGCCAUCACUUUUUCUCCUCCUGUACAAUGUUGAAGAACAGCCAUGUGUAUCCUUAAGAUAGAGGAACUGAUUCCUUUUUUGGUGGCAUGGUGAUUGUUGCCCAGUGGAAUGAACUGAGUUCUGAUGAGUGAAUAGAGUUCUUCCAAGAAGACAAGAAAAACAACAGGGUGUUGGUGGUGCUGGUGGUGUUGGCUUGUCAUCUUCCAGGAGAGAAACCAAAGAAUGACACAGAAAAAGCCUCUCCGCACUCCCAGGCUGAGCCCCUCCCUCCUCGCCGGUUCGCACCUCUCCUCAGCCGGGUGCACCUGGGCCAGCGCGGGCGCGGGACUCGUGCGGAGCGCCGCCAGCGCGGCACAGGCAGAGGCCCGCUGACCGCCCCGGGGACAGCGCGCACCGAGCCACAGCACCAUUCUCCGCGCCGCCACGCACGGAUCCCCGCGACCACCGCUGCCGGAGCCGUGGGCAAGCAACAGUGCGCCCCGAGCCAGACAGCCCGGGCGGCUGCUGCUCCCGGAUGCCAGGGCCAGGGCGCCGGACCGCUGCCAGCAGGAGGAUGAAGAGCUCGGCGGGUGGAAGGAGAGAAAAGCUUCUGGGGAUGUCUAAAGCUCAGCUCUGCCACAGUAAGUUGAGCGCCUGAAGAGGCGUAUCCGCGGUUUGGGCGAUGGAGUUGGCUGGGGCA